GUCCAAGCCACGAGAUCAAAAAGCCUGUAUCUUGAUUCUGUAUAUCAAGAGGAUAUGCACGCUGCAAAUCUCAUUCUAAGCACAUAUUCUUCUGGCCUAGGAUGCAAAGCUAAGGAAGAUUUUUUUCAAAAACUGAAUAAAAAGCAGUUGAAUUAAUUGUGUUAUAAUAUGAUGCUGAAGACUGUGCUACACAGGAGGAAAAGCAAAUUAAGGAACAGAAGUGACUUUCUCAUCCUGCUGUUAGUCUCACACUCUUCAAAGGCAUUUGAAUUUCUGAGGAGGGAAAUCUUGAGGGAAGAAAACUGUUUUCAAAUUUUCAAUUUAUCUGUAGCCUACAAGGAAAAUGACUGUAAAUUCUGGAGCUUCUGCAACUAUCUCUAG
rnacentral:lncRNA from 1 species